UUUUUUAAUGUACGGAUAAUUCAGAAAUCAGAUGGAUAAUACUAUUUUUUGCUUUAUUUAUUCUAAAUAACAGAAAGUGAAAAGAGGGUACAGAAGGUUAUGCCUUCUAGUUUCAUCCAUCUCGUGAUCCUCAAAAUGAAUCCACUAACUAGGUUGAUCAAGUCUUGUUAACAAACUCAUUCCGAAUAACACGGAACCGGAGAAAUUUCGAAUAACACUAAGUUACCUCAACGGGGAUAUGAAAAUCCCCAACAAUGAGAAUAUCAUACUUUUUCUUGACAGUAGGGAGAGGAAAUUCAAAACCUCCAAAAAUGAUAGUUGGAACUUUUUCAAUAGAAUUGAUGCUAUGAACUUGAGAGUGUUUCCUCGGAAAGUGUACAGUAUGCUCAUUACCAUUAACAUCAAAAGUGACAUUGCCUUUGUUGCAAUCAAUAACAGCCCCUGCAGUAUUAAGAAAAGGUCUACCAAGGAUAAUAAACAUACUAUCGUCCUCAGGAAUAUCAAGAAUAACAAAGUCCGUUAAGAUAGUGACAUUUGCAACCACAACAGGCACAUCCUCACAAAUACCGACAGGUAUAGCAGUUGAUUUAUCGGCCAUCUACAAAGAUAUUUCAGUAGGUGUCAACUUAUUCAAUUCAAGUCUACGAUAUAAAGAAAGAGGCAUAACACUAACACCGGCUCCAAGAUCACAUAAAGCAGUUCUAAUAUAAUUUCUUUUAAUAGAGCAUGGUAUAGUUGGAACACCCGGAUCUCCAAGUUUCUUUGGUAUUCCACCCUUAGAAGUGUAAUUAGCAAGCAUGGUGGAAAUUUCAGCUUCCGGUAUCUUUCUUUUAUUUGUAAUGAUAUCCUUCAUAUACUUAGCAUAAGGAUUUACUUUAAGCAUAUCAGUUAAGCGCAUACGUAAGAAAAUAGGUCUAAUCAUUUCAGCAAAGCGCUCAAAAUCCUCAUCAUCCCUUGACAUGGAUGGUUUAGGAGGAAAGGGCAUGGGUUUCUGAACCCAUGGUUCUCUUUCUUUACCGUGCUUCCUAGCAACAAAAUCUCUCUUAUCAUAACGUUGAUUCUUUGAUUGUGGGUUAUCAAGAUCAACAACAGGUUCAAUCUCUACAUCAUUGUUUUUGCUAGGUUGAGCAUUAACAUGAACAUUAUCAUUAACAUUAUCACUAGGUUCAUGUUCAUCACCUGAUUGAGUUUCAGCAUCGGAAAUAGAAAUAUCAUUGGGAUUCUCAGGUGUGUCUACAGUAGGUUCACUAGAAGCAUGCAAAGUUCUAUCUUUUUUCUUUUUCUUCUUUUUAGAAGAACUAGGUGCCUCUAAAUUAUUUCUCUAAGAAUCUUGCUCAAUUCUCUUAGAGUGGCCUUCAGGAUACAAAGGUUCCUGAGUCAUUCUACCAGUUCUAGUAGCCACUCUAACAGCAAAGUCAUUAUUAUUAUUCAAUUCCUCAAGCAAAUCAUUUUGAGCUUUAAGUACUUGCUCAGCUUGAGUAGCAACCAUAGAAGCAUAUUUACUAACGCGGUGAAGUUCAUCUUUAACUCUAGCCAGAUUAUCACCUACACGUCCUAUCUCGAAAGCAUUAUUCUUUAACUCUCUACCAACAUAAGCAUUAAAACUUUCUUGUCUAGCCAUAAAGUCAUCAAAUUCAUCUAAGCACGGGCUAUGAAAUUUAGUAGAGGGUAUUUCAGCUUUAUCAUAUCUAUAGAGAGAAUUUACCUUUACUACCUGUGUCGGGUUAUCAAGACAAUGUGGUUCUUCAGGCGGUAAAUUAAGACCAUGUAUUUCUUCAAUAGGAGGUAAAUUCUUAACAUCUUCAGCUUUAAUACCUUUUUCUUUCAUUGAUUUCUUUGCCUCUUGCAUAUCUUCGGGACUGAGAAAUAAAACACCUCUCUUCUUCGGAGUGGGUUUAGGAAUAGGCUCAGGAGUUGGCUCAAUUGGUUCAGGAAUUACUUCAGGAACUGGCUCGGGAAGAGUCCAAUUAUUUUCAUUAGCCAACAUAAUAUUCAAUAGUAUUUCAGCUUCGUCGACUGUUCUUUCCCUGAAAACACAACCAGCACAACUAUCCAAGUAGUCCUUGGAAGCAUCGGUUAGUCCAUUAUAAAAGAUAUCAAGUAUUUCAUUUUUCUUAAGAGGAUGAUCAUGCAAAGCAUUAAGUAACCGGAGAAGCCUCCCCCAAGCUUGUGGGAGACUCUCUUCUUUGAUUUGCACAAAAUUAUAUAUUUCCUGCAAGGCAGCUUGUUUCUUAUGAGCAGGGAAAUAUUUAGCAGAGAAGUAAUAAAUCAUAUCCUGGGGACUACGCACACAACCAGGAGCAAGAGAAUUAUAUCAAGUCUUAGCAUCACCCUUUAAUGAGAAUUGGAAAUAUCUCUAGGAUAUAUAAAUAGCGAGACUUCUCAUCAUUAGUAAACAGGGUGGCUAUAUCAUUCAACUUGGUAAGAUGUGCCACAACAGUUUCAGAUUCAAGGCCAUAAAAAGGAUCAGAUUCAACUAAAGUAAUAAUAUCAGGAUCAACAGAGAAUUCAUAGUCCUUAUCAGUAACACAGAUAGGUGAAAUAGCAAAAGCAGGAUCGAGUUUCAUUCUAGCAUUAAGUGACUGCUGCUUCCGUUUAGCUAAUAAUUUCUUAAGAUCAUGUCUACCAUUGCAAGCAAGGAUUUCCAUAGCAGCUGUUUCAUUCAUAACAUAACCCUUAGGAACAACAGGUAAUACAUAAUCAUUGGGGGAACCUUCAUCAUCACUAUCAUCAAUAAUAGGUUCUUCAAUAUUUUCAUUCCCCCUAACUCUAUCAAGUUGUUCAUCUAGAAAUUCACCUAAUGGCACAAUAGUAUCAAGCACAGAAGUAGUUUCAUCAUGCAUAGCAGAACUGGCAUCAUCAAUAACAUGCGACAUAUCAGAAUUCAUAGCAGUAGCAGGUUUAGGUGUCGCAAGCCUACUAAUAACGGAAGGAGAAUCUAGUGCAGAGCUAGAUGGCAGUUCCUUACCUCCCCUCGUAGUUGAGGGCAAAAUAGUAGUUCGAUCGUCUUUCAAGUUCUUCAUAGUGAUCAACAGAUAUAAAUGCCAAGUGACUCAGAGAAUAGAGCUAUGCUCCCCGGCAACGGCGCCAGAAAUUAGUCUUGAUAACCCACAAGUAUAGGGGAUCGCAACAGCUUUCGAGGGUAGAGUAUUCAACCCAAAUUUAUUGAUUCGACACUAGGGAAGCCAAAGAAUAUUCUUGAGUAUUAGCAGUUGAGUUGUCAAUUCAACCACACCUGGAUAACUUAGUAUCAGCAGCAAAGUGUUUAGUAGCAAAAGUGGUAAAUAAAUGUAAUGGUAGCAAAAGUAAAGAUAAAUGUUUUGGGGGUUUUGUAGUAGUUGUAACAGUAGCAACGGAAACGUAAAUAAGCGAAGAACAAUAUGUGAAAAGCUCGUAGGCAAUGGAUCAGUGAUGGAUAAUUAUGUCGGAUGCGAUUCCGCAUGCAAUAGUUCUAACAUAGGGUGAUAUAGAACUAGCUCUAAUUCAUCAAUGUAAUGUAGGCAUGUAUUCCGUAAAUAGUCAUACGUGCUUAUGGAAAAGAACUUGUAUGACGUCUUUUGUCCUACCCUCCCGUUGAAGCGGGGUCCUAGCGGAAACUAAGGGAUAUUAAGGCCUCCUUUUAAUAGAUAACCGGACCAAAGCAUUAACACAUAGUGAAUACAUGAACUCAUCAAACUACGGUCAUCACCGAGAAGUAUCCCGAUUAUUGUCACUUCGGGGUUGUUGGAUCAUAACACAUAAUAGGUGACUAUAGACUUGCAAGAUAGGAUCAAGAACACACAUAUAUUCAUGAAAACAUAAUAGGUUCAGAUCUGAAAUCAUGGCACUCGGGCCCUAGUGACAAGCAUUAAGCAUAGCAAAGUCAUAGCAACAUUAAUCUCAGAACAUAGUGGAUACUAGGGAUCAAACCCUAACAAAACUAACUUGAUUAAAUGAUAAAUCUCAUCCAACCCAUCACCGUCCAGCAAGCCUACGAUGGAAUUACUCACGCACGGCGGUGAGCAUAAUGAAAUUGGUGACGGAGGAUGGUUGAUGAUGACGACAGCGACGAAUCCCCCUCUCCGGAGCCCCGAACGGACUCCAGAUCAGCCCUCCCGAGAGAGAUUAAGGCUUGGCGUCGGCGGAGCGGGAACUAGAACCCACCGCUGCCCACGCGGAGCAGCGGCUGGUGGUGGAGGAGGCCAUCGGGUGGGAGGAGCAGAUCGGGCAAGCAUCGCAGAUCCGCGCGCGGGGCGGAAGGGGCCGGCGUCGGCGUUGCGGCGACAGGCGACAGGUGGCGUUGUACCGGACCUGGAGUUGUGAUACGUCUCCAACGUAUCUACUUUUCCAAACACUUUUGCCCUUAUUUUGAAGACGUAUCACAGCUCCAGGUCCGGUACAACGCCACCUGUCGCCUGUCGCUGCAACGCCGACGCCGGCCCCUUCCGCCCCGCGCGCGGAUCUGCAAUGCUUGCCCGAUCUGCUCCUCCCACCCGAUGGCCUCCUCCACCACCAGCCGCUGCUCCGCGUGGGCAGCGGUGGGUUCUAGUUCCCGCUCCGCCGACGCCGCGGAAGUGGACUCCAGAGUCGGCGGCACGUGCCGCCCGCCGCGAGAGGCAGAGGACAAGGGAGAUGGGGGCGGGCCCGACGCGGCGGCUCAGUCUGCCUGCUGCCGUCGCGUGAUGCCGGUGCCCGACGAUGAGGACUGUCUCCUCGAGUGGGUGUGUCGUCGGUCGCUUACUGAGGCGGAGAAGAAGGCCCGACGGCUCCGGAGGAUCAACGCCAAGCAGCUCCGGCUCAACAUUGAGCAAUGUGAGCGGGAGGCGGCGGAGGUAGCGACAGAGGCGGUGACGGUGGCCAAGCUCAAGCGCAAGCAAGACCGCGUCGUCCGACGAGGCUACAUCGUCAUUUCCGAUUCCUCCUCCUCCGACGGGUCCGACGGCUCCGACGUGGACCCACCUCCUGCUGCAGACUCCUACAGCUGUGCCAACGACUGGAAGGUCAAAGGGCCGGCGAGGAAGUGGUGAAGCUCACCCCCUCUUGUUUAUAAUCUAGUUCUAGUAUGUAGUUACAAUGUGUCGGAUCGUUGAACUGUGUGACUUAUGUUGUUUGGUGAUCUUUGGUUGAUGUUUAUGUGAAUUAUGCCCGUUCGGUACCAGUUUAUAUGUUUGUUUCCUGUCGAUUUUGAUCGUUUGGUGAUCUACGUAAUAGUUGCAUGCCAGUUUAUAUGUUUGUUUCCUGUCGAUUUUGAUCGUUUGGUGAUCUAUGUAAUAGUUGCAUGAAUUUGUAUGGAUAUAAGGUUCAGAAUAUGAGAUAAGCGGAUAUGGAGGCGCGGAUUUAGGGAGCGGGGCCGGAUUUGUCAAGUCCGGCUGUAGAUGAUUUCAGACGUUCAAAGAUUAUUAUGUUUUUGAUUGAGGCCACGUAUGAUGCAAGGUGCUUAGGAAGGUGUUUAGUAAAAUAAACCGAGUCUUCUUAUCUCUAUAGAAGGGUAAUUAAAACGUCUACCCUCUACAAAUAAACACCGGUACUUGAAAAUGCUGGUUUCUCUAAGCACCUAGUUUACAAAAUUUCCUCCCUUAUCCAACUGAUGCUGCCACAGAGAUGAGAAUGUUAACGCGACAGACCUCCACGCCUCACGUAUGAUGUUUCCUUUCCUGACCAAAUGAACAUGACCGUGAACAAUAGUCAAUAGGACCAGCUAAUUGCGCUGUUGUUUUUACACUGAACGCCCGGUGGUUGUUAUUGUUCAACAAAGCUAUGACACACAUUGGACAAGUAACGCUAUGAAAUGUUUCUGGGCAAAUUUUUAGGAACUCGUCUUAAAAAAACGUCAGUGAAAUGCGCUUGUAAAUUAUAACCGGGCAACUUUUGUUAAACAUUGGUUUAGGCUCAGAAUAAGAAAAAUCAAUCAAUGGUUCAUUUCAAGCCAUGGGAAUUCAAUAUUUUACAAACACAAAAUGUGCCUUCCGACCAAACUAGCAGAGCACCAUUUAACCACUAUUAACUUGAUUCAUCACUGCAUUUCAGGUGGUCGCAGUAGAGGAGGGCUGUUUUAAGUUGGGGAUUGCUGAAUAAAACGUAGGUAGAGGCAAGUAAUACUCCGACCAUUUUAAACAAAACACAAACUCCAAUCCUCCAGUAUUAGACUACCAUGCGAACCCGGAGGUAAUGCUGGCGGCGACAGGUGUGAACAGUCUCACAUGUACAACCCCUCCGGUACACCUUCCUUCUUCUUGAACAUUACCUUCUCCUUGGCCUUCUUGAAGUCAGCAUGUGUCACCUAUAAAUAGAAAGAAAGCAGGAAAUUUAAAACAUGUGAAAUCAAAACUUCCCAUCCACCUAUGUUCUUUUCUUGAGGGGCAUCCACUUAUGUUUUACUCCCUCUGUACCAAAAUAUAACUGCAAAAACGUCUUAUAUUUUGAUACAGAGGAAUAACUUAGUAUAAGACGAUAGAAAGACCACCCUUGUCUUGUCAAGUAAACUAUCUAGGAACGAUCAACAGAAUGUCCUGGAUUACUAUCGUGCCUUCACACCAUGUCACAAAUUCAUAGUUACUCCCUCCGUUCCAAAAUAGAUGAAGGGGUCUGAUUUGCAUAGCAAUGAUGUCUUACCUUCAUCCUGCGCUCUCUCAAGGCAAGCAAUCCAGCUUCAGUACAAAUGGCUUUGAUAUCAGCACCAGAAAACUCAUCUUUGGUCAUCACAAACUCUUCCAGGUUCACAUCUUC
rnacentral:lncRNA from 1 species